rnacentral:rRNA from 1 species
GACGAACGCUGGCGGCGUGCUUAACACAUGCAAGUCGAACGGUGAAGCGCUUGCCUUUUUGGUGGGUGUGGAUGAGUGGCGAACGGGUGAGUAACACGUGAGUAACCUGCCCUCUUCUUCUGGAUAACCUCAUGAAAGUGGGGCUAAUACGGGGUAUUCCGGGUCUGUCGCAUGGCGGGUUUGGGAAAGAUUGCGCCUUUGGGUGUUUUCGGUGGGGGAUGGGCUCGCGGCCUAUCAGCUUGGUGGUGGGGUGAUGGCCUACCAAGGCGGUGACGGGUAGCCGGCCUGGGAGGGUGGACGGCCACACUGGGACUGAGACACGGCCCAGACUCCUGCGGGAGGCAGCAGUGGGGAAUAUUGCACAAUGGGCGCAAGCCUGAUGCAGCGACGCCGCGUGAGGGAUGGAGGCCUUCGGGUUGUGAACCUCUUUCGCCAGUGAAGCAGGCCUGCUCCUGUGUGGGUGGGUUGACGGUAGCUGGAUAAGAAGCGCCGGCUAACUACGUG